GACCUCAUAAAGUGCGUCGUAGUCCGGAUUGGAGUCUGCAACUCGACUCCAUGAAGUCGGAAUCGCUAGUAAUCGUGGAUCAGAAUGCCACGGUGAAUACGUUCCCGGGCCUUGUACACACCGCCCGUCACACCAUGGGAGUGGGUUGCAAAAGAAGUAGGU
rnacentral:rRNA from 1 species